GACGAACGCUGGCGGCGUGCUUAACACAUGCAAGUCGAACGGAAAGGCCCUGCUUUUGUGGGGUGCUCGAGUGGCGAACGGGUGAGUAACACGUGAGUAACCUGCCCUUGACUUUGGGAUAACUUCAGGAAACUGGGGCUAAUACCGGAUAGGAGCUCCUGCUGCAUGGUGGGGGUUGGAAAGUUUCGGCGGGUGGGGAUGGACUCGCGGCUUAUCAGCUUGUUGGUGGGGUAGUGGCUUACCAAGGCUUUGACGGGUAGCCGGCCUGAGAGGGUGACCGGCCACAGUGGAACUGAGAUACGGCCCAGACUCCUACGGGAGGCAGCAGUGGGGAAUAUUGCACAAUGGGCGGAAGCCUGAUGCAGCAACGCCGCGUGCGGGAUGACGGCCUUCGGGUUGUAAACCGCUUUCGCCUGUGACGAAGCGUGAGUGACGGUAAUGGGUAAAGAAGCACCGGCUAACUACGUG
rnacentral:rRNA from 1 species